AUAACGAACGAGACCUUAGCCUGCUAAAUAGGAUCGGGAACCUCGGUUCUCGCAUCACUUCUUAGAGGGACUUUGCGUGUCUAACGCAAGGAAGUUUGAGGCAAUAACAGGUCUGUGAUGCCCUUAGAUGUUCUGGGCUGCACGCGCGCUACACUGAUGCAUGCAACGAGUUUUUGACCUUGGCCGGAAGGUCUAGGUAAUCUUUUGAGUAUGCAUCGUGAUGGGGAUAGAUUAUUGCAAUUAUUAAUCUUCAACGAGGAAUGCCUAGUAGGCGCAAGUCAGCAGCUUGUGCCGAUUACGUCCCUGCCCUUUGUACACACCGCCCGUCGCUGCAACCGAUCGAAGGGUCCUGUGAACUCGAUGGACAGCCCAUCCCCUUCUUGGGGUUGGGCUGGAAGUUGCGUAAAUAGAGCCCUUUAAAGGAUGCAAAAGUCGUAACACGGUUUCCGUAGGUGAACCUGCGGAAGGAUCAUUC
rnacentral:rRNA from 1 species